UACGUAGGGUGCGAGCGUUACUCGGAAUUACUGGGCGUAAAGCGUGCGCAGGCGGUUCGUUGUGUCGGCGGUGAAAGCCCCGGGCUCAACCUGGGAAUGGCCGUUGAAACUGGCGAACUGGAGUGUGGCAGAGGGGGGUGGAAUUCCGCGUGGAGCAGUGAAAUGCGUAGAGAUGCGGAGGAACACCGAUGGCGAAGGCAGCCCCCUGGGCUGACACUGACGCUCAGGCACGAAAGCGUGGGGAGCAAACAGG
rnacentral:rRNA from 1 species